rnacentral:rRNA from 1 species
UACGGGGGGGGCAAGCGUUGUUCGGAAUUACUGGGCGUAAAGGGCUCGUAGGUGGCCAACUAAGUCAUACGUGAAAUCCCUCGGCUUAACCGGGGAACGGCGUCUGAUACUGGAUGGCUUGAGUUUGGGAGAGGGAUGCGGAAUUCCAGGUGUAGCGGUGAAAUGCGUAGAUAUCUGGAGGAACACCGGUGGCGAAGGCGGCAUCCUGGAACAAUACUGACACUGAGGAGCGAAAGCCAGGGGAGCAAACGGG